rnacentral:lncRNA from 1 species
GUUGGAGAAACAGCUAGCAUAAUUGAUCACUUCCAUCAAUGAACUGAAACGUCAGCUCCCGAUCACAUUCAAAUUCGAAACGCAACAUAUCUCCUCACAUCCGCAAAUUCGACAUAUGCUGGUACCAUUAUUUACACUAUUUCUUAGCUUCUUCCUUCAAUUUAUAAUAAUUGAAGGAAGAAGCUAAGAAAUAUAUUCCACCAUGCAAAUUUCAAAAGCAAGAACAAAAACAGGAACUAUUAAACUAAACCGCCUGCACCCUGUUGCGGCAAAUGGCGCAGGCAACAUCAAUUCAUACAGCCUCUUCGUUACUAAUGUACCGACUGGCAUCCGUUUCCUGACUGAUUCAGGAGCGGACAUAUCUGUCAUUCUACCGUCCUCUAAAGCAGUGUUUCUCAAACUUUCUGGAACUACGGAACCCUCUCAAUUUAUUUUCGUUUUCGCGGAACCUUUUUGAAAAUAUGAGUUGUAUAGGUAUGUCGUAUUAUUCUCCUCUUUUGCGUAUUCUGCGACUAAGAAAGAGGUGAGGUUAUUUUAGCCAAAUUAAAAAAAAGAAACCUUUCACAUUCAGGAACUUUCAAGAUCUUCCAGAUAUUUUAUAAAAAAAAACUGCAACAUAGAAAAUAAAUUUUUGCUCU